UAACGGAGGAUCCAAGCGUUAUCCGGAUUUAUUGGGUUUAAAGGGAGGCGUAGGCGGUCUGUUAAGUCAGGGGUGAAAGACGGUGGCUACAACCCACUCGGCAGUGCCUUUUGAAUACUGACGGACUUGAAUGUAGUUGAGGUAGGCGGAAUGUGACAAGUAGCGGUGAAAUGCAUAGAUAUGUCACAGAACACCGAUUGCGAAGGCAGCUUACUAAGCUAUAAUUGACGCUGAGGCUCGAAAGCGUGGGGAUCAAACAGG
rnacentral:rRNA from 1 species